rnacentral:rRNA from 1 species
GUGGGGAAUAUUGGACAAUGGGGGGAACCCUGAUCCAGCCAUGCCGCGUGUGUGAAGAAGGCCUUUUGGUUGUAAAGCACUUUAAGCGAGGAGGAGGCUACCGAGAUUAAUACUCUUGGAUAGUGGACGUUACUCGCAGAAUAAGCACCGGCUAACUCUGUGCCAGCAGCCGCGGUAAUACAGAGGGUGCAAGCGUUAAUCGGAUUUACUGGGCGUAAAGCGCGCGUAGGUGGCCAAUUAAGUCAAAUGUGAAAUCCCCGAGCUUAACUUGGUAAUUGCAUUCGAUACUGGUUGGCUAGAGUAUGGGAGAGGAUGGUAGAAUUCCAGGUGUAGCGGUGAAAUGCGUAGAGAUCUGGAGGAAUACCGAUGGCGAAGGCAGCCAUCUGGCCUAAUACUGACACUGAGGUGCGAAAGCAUGGGGAGCAAACAGGAUUAGAUACCCUUGUAGUCC